rnacentral:rRNA from 1 species
AGUGAACGCUGGCGGUAGGCCUAACACAUGCAAGUCGAACGGCAGCACAGUAAGAGCUUGCUCUUACGGGUGGCGAGUGGCGGACGGGUGAGGAAUACAUCGGAAUCUACUUUUUCGUGGGGGAUAACGUAGGGAAACUUACGCUAAUACCGCAUACGACCUACGGGUGAAAGCAGGGGAUCUUCGGACCUUGCACGAUUGAAUGAGCCGAUGUCGGAUUAGCUAGUUGGCGGGGUAAAGGCCCACCAAGGCGACGAUCCGUAGCUGGUCUGAGAGGAUGAUCAGCCACACUGGAACUGAGACACGGUCCAGACUCCUACGGGAGGCAGCAGUGGGGAAUAUUGGACAAUGGGCGCAAGCCUGAUCCAGCCACACCGCGUGGGUGAAGAAGGCCUUCGGGUUGUAAAGCCCUUUUGUUGGGAAAGAAAAGCAGCAGGUUAAUACCCCGCUGUUCUGACGGUACCCAAAGAAUAAGCACCGGCUAACUUCGUG